GACGAACGCUGGCGGCGUGCCUAAUACAUGCAAGUAGAACGCACAGUUUAUACCGUAGCUUGCUACACCAUAGACUGUGAGUUGCGAACGGGUGAGUAACGCGUAGGUAACCUGCCUGGUAGCGGGGGAUAACUAUUGGAAACGAUAGCUAAUACCGCAUAAAAUUAAUUAUUGCAUGAUAAUUAAUUGAAAGAUGCAAUUGCAUCACUACCAGAUGGACCUGCGUUGUAUUAGCUAGUUGGUGAGGUAACGGCUCACCAAGGCGACGAUACAUAGCCGACCUGAGAGGGUGAUCGGCCACACUGGGACUGAGACACGGCCCAGACUCCUACGGGAGGCAGCAGUAGGGAAUCUUCGGCAAUGGGGGGAACCCUGACCGAGCAACGCCGCGUGAGUGAAGAAGGUUUUCGGAUCGUAAAGCUCUGUUGUAAGAGAAGAACGGGUGUGAGAGUGGAAAGUUCACACU
rnacentral:rRNA from 1 species